GGGCGUAGCUGAUCAGCGAGCCGCGUGCGGGAUGAAGGCCUUCGGGUUGUAAACUCUUUCGUGGGGACGAAUUCAAACGGACCCCACCGAAAAAGCCCCGGCCAACUACGUGCCAGCAGCCGCGGUAACACGUAGGGGGCGAGCGUUGUCCGGAAUCAUUGGGCGUAAAUAGCUCGUACGCAGCUCGCUAAGUCGGCUGUGAAACCCCCAGGCUCAACCUGCGGACGCCACCCGAUACUG
rnacentral:rRNA from 1 species